rnacentral:rRNA from 1 species
UACCCGGUAGUCCUAGCUGUAAACAUUGCCCAUUUGAUGUUGCUUUUCCGUUGAGGGAAGGCAGUGUCGGAGCGAAGGUGUUAAAUGGGCCGCUUGGGAAGUAUGGUCGCAAGACUGAAACUUAAAGGAAUUGGCGGGGGAGCACCGCAACGGGAGGAAUGUGCGGUUUAAUUGGAUUCAACGCCGGAAAACUCACCGGGAACGACCUGUGCAUGAGAGUCAACCUGACGAGCUUACUCGAUAGCAGGAGAGGUGGUGCAUGGCCGUCGUCAGCUCGUACCGUAGGGCGUUCACUUAAGUGUGAUAACGAGCGAGACCCACAUCUUUAAUUGCAAAUGUAUAUGAGAAUAUGCAUGCACUUUAGAGAAACCGCCAGCGCUAAGCUGGAGGAAGGAGUGGUCGACGGCAGGUCAGUACGCCCCGAAUUUCCCGGGCUACACGCGCAUUACAAAGAACGGGACAAUACGUUGCAACCUCGAAAGAGGAAGCUAAUCGCGAAACCCGUCCAUAGUUAGGAUUGAGGGCUGUAACUCGCCCUCAUGAUCUGGAUUCCGUAGUAAUCGCGGU